UGGCGCACGGGUGCGUAACGCGUAACCAACCUACCCGAAUCUGGGGGAUAGCCCGCCGAAGGGCGGAUUAAUACCGCAUAAAACUGCAGCCUGGCAUCAGGUAACAGUUGAAGAUUUAUUGGAUUCGGAUGGGGUUGCGUGCCAUUAGCUAGUUGGCGGGGUAACGGCCCACCAAGGCGACGAUGGCUAGGGGAGCUGAGAGGCUGGUCCCCCACACGGGCACUGAGAUACGGGCCCGACUCCUACGGGAGGCAGCAGUAGGGAAUAUUGGGCAAUGGGCGAGAGCCUGACCCAGCCAUGCCGCGUGCAGGAUGAAGGCUUUCUGAGUCGUAAACUGCUUUUACCAGGGAAGAAAAAAGGGGAUGCGUCCUCUACUGACGGUACCUGGUGAAUAAGCACCGGCUAACUCCGUGCCAGCAGCCGCGGUAAUACGGAGGGUGCAAGCGUUGUCCGGAUUUAUUGGGUUUAAAGGGUGCGUAGGCGGCUGAUUAAGUCUGGGGUGAAAGCCCGUUGCUCAACAACGGAACUGCCCUGGAAAC
rnacentral:rRNA from 1 species